UACGUAGGGGGCGAGCGUUGUCCGGAAUUAUUGGGCGUAAAGGGCGCGUAGGCGGAUGAUUAAGUCCGGUGUGAAAGAUCAGGGCUCAACCCUGAGAGUGCAUCGGAAACUGGUUAUCUUGAGGACAGGAGAGGAAAGUGGAAUUCCACGUGUAGCGGUGAAAUGCGUAGAUAUGUGGAGGAACACCAGUGGCGAAGGCGACUUUCUGGACUGUGACUGACGCUGAGGCGCGAAAGCGUGGGGAGCAAACAGG
rnacentral:rRNA from 1 species